rnacentral:rRNA from 1 species
CCUACGGGUGACAGCAGUGGGGAAUAUUGCACAAUGGGGGAAACUCUGAUGCAGCGACGCCGCGUGAGUGAAGAAGUAUUUCGUUAUGUAAAGCUCUAUCAGCAGGGAAGAAAAUGACGGUACCUGAGUAAGAAGCCACGGCUAACUACGUGCCAGCAGCCGCGGUAAUACGUAGGGGGCAAGCGUUAUCCGGAUUUACUGGGUGUAAAGGGGGCGUAGACGGCAGUGCAAGUCUGAAGUGAAAGGCCGGGGCUCAACCCCGGAACUGCUGUGGAAACUGUACGGCUGGAGUGCAGGAGAGGUAAGCGGAAUGCCUAGUGUAGCGGUGAAAUGCGUAGAUAUUAGGAGGAACACCAGUGGCGAAGGCGGCUUACUGGACUGUAACUGACGUUGAGGCUCGAAAGCGUGGGGAGCAAACAGGAUUAGAUACCCGGGUAGUC